GCGCACGUGGCGGAAUUGGUAGACGCGCCAGCUUGAGGGGCUGGUGGGAUUAUUCCCGUGGAAGUUCGAGUCUUCUCGUGCGCA
rfam:Flavobacteria bacterium MS024-2A ctg67, whole genome shotgun sequence.